UACGUAGGUGGCGAGCGUUGUCCGGAAUUACUGGGUGUAAAGCGCGUGUAGGCGGGAGGCCAAGUCUGCUGUGAAAUCGCCCGGCUCAACUGGGCGGGGUCGGUGGAAACUGGUCACCUGGAGGACGGUAGAGGCGAGUGGAAUUCCCGGUGUAGUGGUGAAAUGCGUAGAGAUCGGGAGGAACACCAGUGGCGAAGGCGGCUCGCUGGGCCGGCCCUGACACUGAGACGCGAAGGCGUGGGGAGCGAACGGG
rnacentral:rRNA from 1 species